CAUGAAGUGGAUGAUGAAUAAUUUAUCCACUAAGCCACUGAAGCAACAUAGUUUUGAUCCAUUGGUGGUUUCUGCCACCUUGGUCUUCACGAUCAUGUUUAGCACUUUAGCCCUCAUCACAGCCUCACCUUGUUUUGGCACAGUUGAGGUUGUAAGAAAAUUAAUUUGGUAGGGUUUGGGAUUGGCUCUUGAAGAAGGAAUCAGGCGUCUGUGUUUCAAUGAACCCAGGAUUGGAUUUCAAAAUUCAUGAGGCUGCUCAAAGUAGUUUGAAACAUGCCCAUCACCUGUUUGGUUGUGUAUCUGAGAAUAAACAAAAGAGAAGUGUUCAAGAAGUAAGCUUGAUUGCUCAAGAUGCAGUGGAAGAAUUCAGAAAACUACUUGCUCUCCUUGAUGGAUCAUUGUUAUCAAACCAGAAGAGGAUCAGAAGAGGUCCUUUGCCAAAAUCCCAUGACAUAAACCAGGUUGAACUGUUGGACUCUCCUAACCCUUCAUCCCAAAAUACUACACACAAUUGGCCUCAGCCUCAUACCCUGCCCCAGCCUCGGAAUUGCUUGGUUAGACAGUUUUUUAGUGCUGUUCAUCAAAGUGAUCAAGCAACUGCAAAUGUGAUCCACAGUAAUAGCUUUAGCAUCGCUAGAGAGAAAAAACCAAACCCGGCAUUGCAGCAAGGGCAAUCUGAAGCCGGUGUGGUUCUUCCUAAUAAUUUUAUCAUGGGGUUGAACCAAUUCUCACAAAAGCCUACUAGCACUUCUUUGAUCAGUAUGGAUGGAAGUAGCCCUAACACGCGGAUGAUUCACUAUUCGUCGUCUGAACUCUUGGGUUCUCGAGAUUGUACCUCUAUGUUUUCUUCCAAAAGGAAGUGUGGGGUGAAAAGUGAAGAAGCCACUCCAAGAUGCCUAGUCUCUGCUGGUGGAUGCCAUUGCUCAAAGCGAAGGAAACUUAGAAUAAAGAGAAGAAUCCGAGUUCCUGCUUUAAGCAAUAAGCUAGCUGAUAUACCUCCUGAUGACUAUACCUGGAGGAAGUAUGGGCAGAAACCUAUUAAAGGGUCUCCAUAUCCUAGGAGUUAUUACAAGUGCAGCAGUGUGAGGGGAUGCCCUGCAAGAAAGCAUGUCGAACGGUGCUUGGAAGAUCCUACCAUGUUGGUUGUUACAUAUGAAGGCGACCAUCAACACCCCAAGAUUACAUUUCAAGCACCUACAGUUGCGAUUUAAGUUAACCAGUAUAAUAAAUCCAAUGGAUGCCAACAUUUCAGAGCUUGAACUGGUUUUGCAGUGUGCCAUUCUUGCUUGUCAUUGACAACCUGCAUAGGAGCCCUUAUACUAUCAGUCUCCACCCUACACUCAGGCGAAGUUACAAUUACAUGUCUUAUUGUUGUGAAGAAAUUAUGCUAUCCAACUUCAUCACAUCAAGUUAAAUCAAAGUUGUAACACGAAAACCAAGUUUAAUCCCGGAAGAUGUACACAAAGAAACCAGAUACUCUUACAGAUUAUUCGACAGAUACUAGACCUUAAGAGUUUCAUCGGUUAGGAAAUAAGUCAACAAUGUAUGUCAUACUAACAUAAAUCACUUGCUUCCAGAGUUUACUGUACGUUUUCUAAUACUUUUCUUUAUAACCUUAACUUUGUUGAUGCCAGAACUUGGCCAAUGAAAAUUGCCAAUGUGGGAGUGCUCUGCCAGUCUGAUUAUGUAUGUUCCUUCAAAUUUUUUAUACAAGCGUG